rnacentral:rRNA from 1 species
GACGAGUGGCGGACGGGUGAGUAAUGUCUGGGAAACUGCCUGAUGGAGGGGGAUAACUACUGGAAACGGUAGCUAAUACCGCAUAACGUCGCAAGACCAAAGAGGGGGACCUUCGGGCCUCUUGCCAUCGGAUGUGCCCAGAUGGGAUUAGCUAGUAGGUGGGGUAACGGCUCACCUAGGCGACGAUCCCUAGCUGGUCUGAGAGGAUGACCAGCCACACUGGAACUGAGACACGGUCCAGACUCCUACGGGAGGCAGCAGUGGGGAAUAUUGCACAAUGGGCGCAAGCCUGAUGCAGCCAUGCCGCGUGUAUGAAGAAGGCCUUCGGGUUGUAAAGUACUUUCAGCGGGGAGGAAGG